rnacentral:lncRNA from 1 species
ACAAAAAGAAGUUGUAAUGUUUCUCAAAUAAUAUAUAGGGGAUACAAUUGCAAUAUAAAAGAUGACUGGAAAAUAUACAUGAUGGAGAAAGUUUAAAACACUUAACCAAUAUUAAUAGGAGAAACCGAACAGAGAUGAUUGAUACAAUUGCAAUAUAAAAGAUGACUGGAAAAUAUACAUGAUGGAGAAAGUUUAAAACACUUAACCAAUAUUAAUAGGAGAAACCGAACAGAGAUGAUUUAGAUAAAGCAUUCGAGAUAGGUUGUCUACAGGACAUCGUACGAGUUGCUGGGGCCAACCGCAGUGCUGCAUUUUCUGUGGCGAAACUGAUGAGACUAGGGAUCACCUUUUCUUUGCUUGCCCAUACACUUUUAUGGUCUGGCUGAAGUUGGCAGGAACCUGACCCGGAUUGGGAGACGACGCUGUCAAGGCUUCUUACGGGUUCGUAUGAUCGCCUGACUUUCAUUCUUUUGAGACUGGCCCUGCAAGCCACCAUAUAUUUUAUCUGGCGCGAGCGUAAUGAGAGGAAGCACAACUCCAGUAACAAGUCGGUGGAUCAGCUAGCAAGGCUAAUUGACAAGGCUGUAAGGAAUCGCAUCUCCUCCACAAAUGAUGUGAUCAAUCCCAAGCUACAUGGUCUGA